AUUACUUUCUUUCUUCAGAUACGGGAAUGAAGGGGUUUUCAUAUAGUUUUAUAUGACAAGCUCAAGCUCCUCAACAACUAGAUCUUCAAAUGCUAAUUUAUGACUCUGCUCCUGAAUUUACUUGACUUGAUAUAUGCAUAUUUGAGAUUGUGCUUGUAGAAUGAAGAAACAUAGACAAUGUUCCAAUUUGAUGAUUCAAUCAGUUAUUUAUGGCCUUUUGCUUUUGUAGACGUCCAGCUUUACUGUGCUUCAGAUUUAUAUUUGGCAAGCCAAUGAUAUUGAAGCAUUUUCUAUCAGUUUCCUAAAUGCAAAACUGGAAUUGUGACGGAUAGUGG
rnacentral:misc_RNA from 1 species